rnacentral:hammerhead_ribozyme from 1 species
AUCCAGGUAACGAGUCCCAAAUAGGAUGAAAUGCGCGUUCUGGAU